GGGGACAGCCAACCAAUGCUACGUGUGUGUGUCGCGGGAGUGGGAGACAGCUGCGUACGUCCGCUCCCGGCACAACACAAGCAUCGAGCUCUGCGACAACUUCAGGGUUGGCGACAGCCGCUUCAUCCGCAACUGUCAGCCGCCGUUCUUAGGAUGCCUUACAACAAUCAACGGAAAACAGAUAACCCGUCAGUGCAGUGAGGACAGCUGGCAAGAAUGUCACAAUUUGAAUGGAGUUCACUAUUGUUACUGUCAGGACUCACUGUGUAAUGGCAACCUCGAGGAAACAUAUGCUGACCUGGGAUCCCUCACGGAUGAUGAUGACUAUGCUUCAAUUAUUGAAGGCAGUGGUGGUGGUGAUGGAAACAUAGAAUACGUUUAUACCCCUGUAGAGACAACUGAAAGCAAAGAGCAGUCACUUGCUUGUGCUAUUAUCCCAUCAUUUUGGUUCUGUUUUUUCUUAAAUUUGGCAGCAGCCAUUUUCCGUUAAGUAUUUAUCCAACUCUCUUCUCUAUCAUUAUUAACCCUGACAAACCACAGUCCCACUACUUCAACAAUGUUGCAACAUAUUCCAUAUGCCAAUUAUAGACAUGUUAUAUGUAAUAUAACCCUGUAGAGUCACACCUUACAGCAACCCAGUAGGAACCCCAAUAAAUGUAGUCAGUGAAAUGGUGACAAUUGAAAAACCAGAAUCAUCUUAUUUAGUAGUUUAAAACCGCUAUAAAUGAAUUCUCAAGAAAUAUUAAAUGUUGUGUGAAAAAAUUUGCCCAUAAACAAAAUAUAAACAUACAUCCCUUAGCAACACAGAACAUGAAUGGCUUCUGCAUUAUUUUUUGUUCCACUAAUUAUGUCCCCACAUGUCUGACAAGACUUUGUCUUUUUUUUCUGAAUUUCUUUUCUCCUUCUUUUGAUUUUAGUUCUUAGGAAAUCUAGUUUUCAACCACCUUUCUUCUAGAAACAGCCAUAGCUCUCAUUAUUUGCACAACAUUACAAUGCUGUCAUUUUCCUGGCAUUUGCCUCUUAUAGGUAUAUAAUAAAGUCAGUUAAAAUUCACUCAUCAUUGAUGUCUACUGACCCCUCUGAUGAAAGUUCUUGGUCAAUUGAAGAAUAGUAAAGUAUGUCUAUUAUAGCAAAUUAUCAAGUCCAAAUAUGAUGUAUAUGACCUUUCAAAGUCCCUGUAAACAAAUUUCAUGCUGUACAAAACAAAGUUGUAUACAAAAAAUUUAUUAAGUAAUGCAUACAUUAAUUAUAUAAAUGUCACUGUUAUUGGUGUGGCUAUCAUAUCUCACAGAAUUAGCCACCUGUUACCAAAGAAUGUAGAGGUAAAUUUUAGUGUGAACAUGUGUCUGUGAUAUUUAUUUUUAACUUUUUAUCACUGUCUGCUAAUAACAAAUACUAAUGUUCUAGAUUAUAUGAUUUAUCCACCAGGGAUCUCAUUUAAUUUUCAUGCAAUAUAUUCUAUAAGCAAAAGACAUUUAUUUCUAAUGCAAUUACUAAUCUAUCUUUCUGUGAUCUCAGUACGAAAAAUUUCAUACAAAAAUGAACUUGCCUCAAAUUUACUUGGUGAACUGGAGAACUAUUGUCACUAUUGUUGGUAACUUCUAGAGAACAAAGAAAACUACAAAAAGCCCCAUUAUUGACUAAUAAAAAUGGCCCAUGACAUCUAAAAUAUAUUUUUGUCUAGCUUUGUCUGAGGGCUACUUAUAUUAAAAUUACAAUGAAAUAAUACUAAUAUAUUUUCAUGGUUAAAUGGUCCCUUUGUACGUUUUUUGAUCUGUAUGAUUGGAGAUCUAUGCCUUUGCAAUAGUAAAGUAAGCAGCAACAUUCUGAAGGCCAUAUUGCAUGAGCCUGAUCUCAUAAAUUAUGUGCCUUCAUUCACUACCGUUCCAUCAUUUGUAUGGACAGAAACAUGCUCAGUUAUAAUAAUAUGACUCUCACAUUAGCAUUUCAGAUACAAAGAACAGAUGCUCAAUUUCUUUAGAUAGUUGUAAAAUUUCGUCCAGUUCAUAGUCAUCAAUAUACCUGUAUAUUUCUCCAAACAUACUCCAUGUAUAACAACUAUAGCAGCACACUGUAGUGCUCUGAAAAUGUCUGUCUCUCAGAUAUUGUCUUCAUUACAUCAAAACUUGGCUAUAGUUGUUAUACUAAGACUUCUUUUCUACUUCGGAGAAAUUGUACUAUUUAUGUUUCAGCAUAACAUUUCAUUGUGAAAUAAAAUUUCUAUGCUGUUGUUAAGAACUACAAAAUGUUGACAUAGUUUGGUAACCUAGAUCAUUCUUGGAUACGAGUCAUGUGUCUAUAUAAAAUUGGCAAAUCUGAUCAGAACAGAUGGCCCUUUACAAAUAUUGUGCUCUGUCUACAAGAAAUUUUUUUCCUACAAGAAGCUCAAGCAGUAACUAGCUAGAAUUCUUCCAAUGUCUUUUUAGUUCUUGAAAUGAAAGGUUGCCCCAGUUGGCAAUUAUACUCUUGUAAAGCUGUUGCUCUGAGCAGGAAAAAAGUAUACUACCCUCUCAUUACCUUAAUUUCUUUCUGUCAAAUCUAUAGCUUCAGCCUAUUCUUUUUUUCAUCAUUCCAUGAAAUUUAAGUUCAGUUCAGUGCAUCAUAUUCUUCAAUUUCAUUGCUGUUCUUCCUCCAUUCCCCUAUGUUCCCUGGUGGUACCUGUCAAUCACAUACUUACCUCAGCUAUAUAUCCUGGAAGUUGUAACUUGUCAUCACAUAACAACUUAUAGUUUGGAUCAAAUGAAAUUCUUCAUUUUUAAAUGUUAAACUGUAGCCCGUUAUGUACCCAGUGUUAGUAAUCUUCCAUCAAAAGCAUACGAGAGAUUGUAUUGUCACUUUAUAGCUGUUAUUCAAGACACAAAAAAAUUAGUCAUUAGUUACCAGUGGACAUGGAUUUAUAUCAGUGGGGCAAGUUGAUAAUUUGUGUCAGACUGAGAUUUGAAUCUGGGUCUCCUGUUUACUUGGCAAAUGUGCUGACCACUAUGCAUCCGGACACACUGGUCACCACAAUCGAGUGGGCUACCCUAGCUCACCUCCCAUCAGAUCCAAAUUCUCAACUUAUACCACGCACCAAUGAUGUAGUGCCCCUGCUCACUAGCCUCAUUACUAGCAUCUUACCAGUUCCCGUAAGAGUUCGAGCUUGGUGCGCAUCUGCACUGAAGGGAUCAUUGCUGUCAUCACCAUAAUUGUAUGUGACACCAGAUGUUCAGGGUGAGCACAAAGUCUUGCGCUGAUUAUAAAAAUUUAUAACAGAAUAACUGUUUGACAUAAUAAAUUACAUUUGAUGCCAUUACAUAGCUUAGUGUUACUAGUUUUUUUUAAGACCACUUAUGUUAGUAAACCUCAACAUGUGCUCCCCUGGUAGCUCGGAGAAUGUUGAGGCGGUAUCCCAGUUCCUGUCAGGUGUUUUGUAACAUGUGUUCUGUCACAGUACCCACAGCUGCUUGUAUCCUAGCCUUCAGUUUGUCGACAUCAGCAACUGGUGUGAUGAAGACUCUGUCCUUGGUAUAGCCCCACAAAAAAAGUCAAGGGUCGUAAUGUCUGGAGAGCAGGGUGGCCAGGGUGUUGGACCAUUCCUUCCAAUCCACCGUUCCGGACAUUACUCCCCUCUCCAGACAUUACACCCCUUUACUUUUUUUUUCUGGGGCUAUACCAAGGACAGAGUCUUCAUCACACCAGUUGUUGAUGUUGAUGAACUGAAGGCUAGGAUACAACCUGCUGUGGGUACUGUGACAGAACACACGUUACGAAACACCUAGCGGGAACUGGAAUACCGCCUUGACAUUCUCUGAGCUACCAAGGGAGCACAUGUUGAGGUUUACUAACGUAAGUGGUCUU